CUGUCGGUACCAAAGGUUCAGGGAGGCAUGGGGUUUAGAGAACUUGAGAAAUUCAAUCUGGCGCUUCUCGGGAAGCAUGGCUAGCGGCUAAUAACCCACCCCAACUCCCUUUGCUCUCGUGUCCUCAAGGGGAAAUAUUUCCCAGACUAUGACUUCAUGCAGGUCAAUGCUCCAUCCUCCUCAUCAGCGACAUGGAAAGCUAUUAUUGCAGGGAGAACAACACUGCAAGCGGGGUUGAUCAAUCGUGUUGGAAACGGUGAACCAAUCUCUAUCUGGAACGAUCCCUGGAUCCCCACAUCCUCUUCCCUCAAGCCCAUGGGGUUGCUAGGGAACGAUCCGCUCGAGCGUGUCUCGGAGCUUAUUGAUUCCAACAUGGGAUCUUGGGAUUGUGAAAAAGUACGACAUAACUUUCUUUCACCUGAUGUAGAGGCUAUAUUAAACAUUCCUAUUCGACGCAACGGUGGAGAAGAUUUCUUGGCAUGGGCCUUUGAAAGAUCCGGAGAGUACACUAUAAAAUCAGCCUACCGUGCUCUUGUGACUCAGAACGAGCGUCGAGCUCUAGAGGAAGGGACGACAGAGGGAACUUCAACUUCUCAGAAACAGUUGUGGACUGCUAUAUGGAAACUCAAAGUGGUCCCAAGAGUUCAUGUUUUCAUGUGGAGAGUUCUCAGGGAUACUGCCUGA
rnacentral:rRNA from 1 species